AGUGAACGCUGGCGGUAGGCCUAACACAUGCAAGUCGAACGGCAGCACAGUAAGAGCUUGCUCUUACGGGUGGCGAGUGGCGGACGGGUGAGGAAUACAUCGGAAUCUACUUUUUCGUGGGGGAUAACGUAGGGAAACUUACGCUAAUACCGCAUACGACCUACGGGUGAAAGCAGUGGAUCUUCGGACCUUGCGCGAUUGAAUGAGCCGAUGUCGGAUUAGCUAGUUGGCGGGGUAAAGGCCCACCAAGGCGACGAUCCGUAGCUGGUCUGAGAGGAUGAUCAGCCACACUGGAACUGAGACACGGUCCAGACUCCUAAGGGAGGCAGCAGUGGGGAAUAUUGGACAAUGGGCGCAAGCCUGAUCCAGCCAGACCGCGUGGGUGAAGAAGGCCUUCGGGUUGUAAAGCCCUUUUGUUGGGAAAGAAAAGCAGCAGGUUAAUACCCCGCUGUUCUGACGGUACCCAAAGAAUAAGCACCGGCUAACUUCGUG
rnacentral:rRNA from 1 species